rnacentral:rRNA from 1 species
GACGAACGCUGGCGGCGUGCUUAACACAUGCAAGUCGAGCGGUAAGGCCCUUUCGGGGGUACACGAGCGGCGAACGGGUGAGUAACACGUGGGUGACCUGCCUCUAGCUCUGGGAUAAGCCCGGGAAACUGGGUCUAAUACUGGAUAUGACUCCAUGACGCAUGUUGUGGGGUGGAAAGCCUUGUGCGGCUAGAGAUGGGCCCGCGGCCUAUCAGCUUGUUGGUGGGGNGAUGGCCUACCAAGGCGACGACGGGUAGCCGGCCUGAGAGGGCGACCGGCCACACUGGGACUGAGACACGGCCCAGACUCCUACGGGAGGCAGCAGUGGGGAAUCUUGCGCAAUGGGCGAAAGCCUGACGCAGCGACGCCGCGUGAGGGAUGACGGCCU